rnacentral:rRNA from 1 species
UACGUAGGGGGCAAGCGUUAUCCGGAUUUACUGGGUGUAAGGGGAGCGUAGACGGCGAUGCAAGCCAGAUGUGAAAGCCCGGGGCUCAACCCCGGGACUGCAUUUGGAACUGUAUAGCUAGAGUGUCGGAGAGGCAGGCGGAAUUCCUAGUGUAGCGGUGAAAUGCGUAGAUAUUAGGAGGAACACCAGUGGCGAAGGCGGCCUGCUGGACGAUGACUGACGUUGAGGCUCGAAAGCGUGGGGAGCAAACAGG